GUCUACAGCCAUGCUACCCUGAACAAGCCUGAUCCCGUCUUAUCUCAGAAGCUAAGCAGGGUCGGGCCUGAUUAGUACUUGGAUGAGAGACCACCUAGGAAGACCAGGUGCUGUAGGCG
rnacentral:rRNA from 1 species